rnacentral:lncRNA from 1 species
GUCAAAAGCAUCAUCUGCUCAGAACAGUGACUAAAUGUAUUUCAGCACUGAAACUAAUGAACCAAGGCUGACACCCUCAGAGUCACAAAGGAAUGAAAUUGUAGGUGGGAAGGAGGGAAACUUCUGCUCUGAAGUACAGCGUUUCCCCCUUUUAUUCCUCUCAGGUGAUCUGUCUUAUUCCAAGUCUCUGGACUUCUGAAGUGCUUGAAUCCAGCCAUCGUCGAGAACAGUUCUACAAUAUGGGCAAAUGUGAGCUUGGUUAUAUCUUCACAGCCACAAAGAAUUAUCUUGUCGUGUAGGCACACCUACUGCAGAGCAGAUGACUUUCCCUUUGUCACUUUGAAUCACUUGCUCUUUCAAAAGGUAAGGACAUCACAGUCCAGAACUCUUAGCCAUUUGCAGCCAAUGGUGUUGACCUACCUUGUCUUUGCAAGCACACCCUGGUCACCAAGUUGAAAAAUACCGUAAGGCAAAAUAAA